rnacentral:rRNA from 1 species
AACGUAGGUGGCGAGCGUUAUCCGGAUUUACUGGGCGUAAGCGUGUGCAGGCGGGAUGGUAAGGGGUGUAUGAAAAUCUCCCAGCUUAACUGGGAGGGGUUAUGCCAGACUGCCAUUCUAGAGUGCGAGAGAGGAGCGUGGGAUUCCGGGUGUAGUGGUGAAAUGCGUAGAGAUCCGGAGGAACCCCAGAGGCGAAGGCGGCGCUCUGGCUCGCAACUGACGCUCAGACACGACAGCAUGGGGAGCGAACGGG